rnacentral:rRNA from 1 species
UGUGAACUCGAAGAGUAGGGCGGGACACGUGGUAUCCUGUCUGAAUAUGGGGGGACCAUCCUCCAAGGCUAAAUACUCCUGACUGACCGAUAGUGAACCAGUACCGUGAGGGAAAGGCGAAAAGAACCCCGGCGAGGGGAGUGAAAAAGAACCUGAAACCGUGUACGUACAAGCAGUGGGAGCACCUUCGGGUGUGACUGCGUACCUUUUGUAUAAUGGGUCAGCGACUUAUAUUCUGUAGCAAGGUUAACCGUAUAGGGGAGCCGCAGGGAAACCGAGUCUUAACUGGGCGUUAAGUUGCAGGGUAUAGACCCGAAACCCGGUGAUCUAGCCAUGGGCAGGUUGAAGGUUGGGUAACACUAACUGGAGGACCGAACCGACUAAUGUUGAAAAAUUAGCGGAUGACUUGUGGCUGGGGGUGAAAGGCCAAUCAAACCGGGAGAUAGCUGGUUCUCCCCGAAAGCUAUUUAGGUAGCGCCUCGUGAACUCAUCUUCGGGGGUAGAGCACUGUUUCGGCUAGGGGGUCAUCCCGACUUACCAACCCGAUGCAAACUACGAAUACCGAAGAAUGUUAUCACGGGAGACACACGGCGGGUGCUAACGUCCGUCGUGAAGAGGGAAACAACCCAGACCGCCAGCUAAGGUCCCAAAGUCAUGGUUAAGUGGGAAACGAUGUGGGAAGGCACAGACAGCCAGGAUGUUGGCUUAGAAGCAGCCAUCAUUUAAAGAAAGCGUAAUAGCUCACUGGUCGAGUCGGCCUGCGCGGAAGAUGUAACGGGGCUAAACCAUGCACCGAAGCUGCGGCAGCGACACUAUGUGUUGUUGGGUAGGGGAGCGUUCUGUAAGCCUGCGAAGGUGUGCUGUGAGGCAUGCUGGAGGUAUCAGAAGUGCGAAUGCUGACAUAAGUAACGAUAAAGCGGGUGAAAAGCCCGCUCGCCGGAAGACCAAGGGUUCCUGUCCAACGUUAAUCGGGGCAGGGUGAGUCGACCCCUAAGGCGAGGCCGAAAGGCGUAGUCGAUGGGAAACAGGUUAAUAUUCCUGUACUUGGUGUUACUGCGAAGGGGGGACGGAGAAGGCUAUGUUAGCCGGGCGACGGUUGUCCCGGUUUAAGCAUGUAGGCUGGUUAUCCAGGCAAAUCCGGAUAAUCAAGGCUGAGGUGUGAUGACGAGGCACUACGGUGCUGAAGUAACAAAUGCCCUGCUUCCAGGAAAAGCCUCUAAGCAUCAGGUAACAUCAAAUCGUACCCCAAACCGACACAGGUGGUCAGGUAGAGAAUACCAAGGCGCUUGAGAGAACUCGGGUGAAGGAACUAGGCAAAAUGGUGCCGUAACUUCGGGAGAAGGCACGCUGGUGUGUAGGUGAAGUCCCUGCGGAUGGAGCUGAGACCAGUCGAAGAUACCAGCUGGCUGCAACUGUUUAUUAAAAACACAGCACUGUGCAAACACGAAAGUGGACGUAUACGGUGUGACGCCUGCCCGGUGCCGGAAGGUUAAUUGAUGGGGUUAUCCGUAAGGAGAAGCUCUUGAUCGAAGCCCCGGUAAACGGCGGCCGUAACUAUAACGGUCCUAAGGUAGCGAAAUUCCUUGUCGGGUAAGUUCCGACCUGCACGAAUGGCGUAAUGAUGGCCAGGCUGUCUCCACCCGAGACUCAGUGAAAUUGAACUCGCUGUGAAGAUGCAGUGUACCCGCGGCAAGACGGAAAGACCCCGUGAACCUUUACUAUAGCUUGACACUGAACAUUGAGCCUUGAUGUGUAGGAUAGGUGGGAGGCUUUGAAGCGUGGACGCCAGUCUGCGUGGAGCCAACCUUGAAAUACCACCCUUUAAUGUUUGAUGUUCUAACGUUGGCCCCUGACCGGGGUUGCGGACAGUGU